GACGAACGCUGGCGGCGUGCCUAAUACAUGCAAGUCGAACGAACCGCGACUGAGUGCUUGCACUUGGUCAAGGUGAGUGGCGAACGGGUGAGUAACACGUGGGUAACCUACCUCAUAGUGGGGGAUAACAGUCGGAAACGACUGCUAAUACCGCAUAGGACAUGGGAUCACAUGAUCCAGUGAGGAAAGGUGGCGCAAGCUAUCGCUAAGAGAUGGACCCGCGGUGCAUUAGCUAGUUGGUAGGGUAAAGGCCUACCAAGGCGAUGAUGCAUAGCCGACCUGAGAGGGUGAUCGGCCACAUUGGGACUGAGACACGGCCCAAACUCCUACGGGAGGCAGCAGUAGGGAAUCUUCCGCAAUGGACGCAAGUCUGACGGAGCAACGCCGCGUGAGUGAAGAAGGUCUUCGGAUCGUAAAGCUCUGUUGUUAGAGAAGAACAGCGCAUAGAGUAACUGUUAUGCGUGUGACGGUAUCUAACCAGAAAGCCACGGCUA
rnacentral:rRNA from 1 species